AUACGUAGGUGGCGAGCGUUGUCCGGAAUUAUUGGGCGUAAAGGGCGCGUAGGCGGGAUAGUCAGUCUGUUGUAAAAGUUCGGGGCUCAACCCCGUGAAGCAAUGGAAACUGCUAUUCUUGAGUGCAGGAGAGGAAAGUGGAAUUUCUAGUGUAGCGGUUAAAUGCGUAGAUAUUAGAAGGAACACCAGUGGCGAAGGCGGCUUGCUGGGCCAUUACUGACGCUGAGACACGAAAGCGUGGGGAGC
rnacentral:rRNA from 1 species